GAUGAACGCUAGCUACAGGCUUAACACAUGCAAGUCGAGGGGAAACGACAUCGAAAGCUUGCUUUUGAUGGGCGUCGACCGGCGCACGGGUGAGUAACGCGUAUCCAACCUGCCCAUCACUUGGGAAUAACCUUGCGAAAGUAAGACUAAUACCCAAUGAUAUCCCACGAAGGCAUCGGAAUGGGAUUAAAGAUUUAUCGGUGAUGGAUGGGGAUGCGUCUGAUUAGCUUGUUGGCGGGGUAACGGCCCACCAUGGCAACGAUCAGUAGGGGUUCUGAGAGGAAGGUCCCCCACAUUGGAACUGAGACACGGUCCAAACUCCUACGGGAGGCAGCAGUGAGGAAUAUUGGUCAAUGGGCGAGAGCCUGAACCAGCCAAGUAGCGUGCAGGAGGACGGCCCUAUGGGUUGUAAACUGCUUUUAUAAGGGAAUAAAGUGGGUCUCGUGAGACUUUUUGCAUGUACCUUAUGAAUAAGGACCGGCUAAUUCCGUG
rnacentral:rRNA from 1 species